CCACUCCCCACGAGCCCACCUUCCCCGAUCCCAUCUGGCCACUGCCUCCCUCCUGCCCCGCGCCAGCAACCGCGCUGCCGCCGGGCCCCGGCCACCAACAGCCCCGCCGCCCAGCCCAACUCCGGCGAAACCCAUGUCCCCGGCGUACAUCCGAGGCCGCGCGCCACCUUCAGGACACUCUCCAUGGUGGAGAUCCCUUGCCCCACCGCUUGUUCCUCCACGAACCCUGCUUCCUUCCGGGAUCCGUCGCCACCACGCGGCGGCGAACUCCCCCGCAGGGAUCCACUGGGGACGGCGGCGUCCCGAUCCCUUGCCGCGGCCAACGACCUCCUGCUCCGCCCUUGCUGUGAUGGCCGCCGCCGGCCUUCCUCCGCGCUGGAGCUGCCCGUCCCCUACCUCCGGACGCUGUUUUGGUCUCCCCCACCUUUGGCAGUAGCUACAACGUCGGACAUCUCCUGCAGUUGAUCAGGUCAUUGACCACCGCCCGAUGCGGCGUCGGACUAGCGGAUCCACGCUGCUCCUCCACCUCCCAAUGCCCCCGGCCCGUCCUGCUGCUCACCUCCUCCUCGCAUAUGCAUCAACAAAACAUGGCAGCCGCUGCAGUCCACAUCGUUCAACAGUAGCAGGUCAACUCCUCCAAGGUCACACAAGCUCGCCGCCAAAAGCCCACGGUCUAUUGAGCCAGAGAUGGCACUGGACGCUGCCGCGGCCGGUCAUCUGGAUCGGAGCCACCAACCCAUGUCCGCACAGAGGGGGCUGGUAGCAGCCCCGUUGAUGGGGAUUGGGCACUAUCUGCAGCUACAAGUGGCAUCGACCUGCAGCUGCAGGGAGCGUCGACUUGCAGCUGGAGGAGGUGUCGACCUAAAGCUCGCCACCCACGCCACUAUGACCUACUGCCACAACGGUCCACCACCUACAGCCGGCGCCGCAGCGCCUCGGCCGUUCAACUAUGCCACCUCAGGCCGUUCAACUAUGCCCCCCGCCAUCGUCGACUCCAUUUGCUUCCUUCCGCUGUACGCGGCCAGCUCCAUGAGCUACUCGCCUCUACUCUGUUUAGAAGAGCGUCGUGAGCUCGUCCAACUAUGGCUGCUUCUCUGCUGAGAUUAUAAAGAAAAGAAGACAUGGGAUCUAGGAUCUAGUGAUUUCUAGGUAACUUGCACAAGAAAUACAGGGCUGGUUAUUUGUGGAACUUGAGCUACACAGAAUUGAGGUAUACUGCUUUGUUUCUUGGAUGGGUGUGUACGUUUACUGGAAAUUGAACCCGCGUUACAAAAGGUAGGUACCAGAAAUGAGGAAAAUGAUUUUGUUAGAGAAACUAUGCAAAGCAAACUUUCAUUCAUUUUCCUAAAAUGACAUGCCUUAAUUUAUCCAAUCUUUUUUUUGCAAUUGCAGUGUCAUGCCGUUAAAUAAUGCCAUGCAAUCAUCAGGUGAAAACCUGCAGGUGACAACUCCUGUUGUGGCCAUUUCUGCUCGGGCAGAUCCCACUCCUGUUGAGAAUAGCAGCACACAAAAGGCUCAAGUUGUCGAUUAGAUGGCAAUCAGUGAACAGUUUGGUUUCUUCUCUUCUACAAAGAGUUUUUUUCCUCCAUCAAUACCGGUGGCCGCUCUAACUUUGUGAAGCUAGAGAAAAAAGAAGACACAUGGGAAAAGAUAGUUAACUUACACAUACAGUAUGAUUUUUCAGGCAUAAGAGAGGAUAAACUUUCUCAUCUAGUCAUUUUGCUUGUGUCUAGCAGGGUUAUGAGCUGAAGGCGCAUUAACUUGGCUUGCCCACGGCGGUGUCUGAUACAGUAGUCUGUUAAUUUUCUGAUCGAGUUGAGCAGAGCAAUUUAAGACUAAUUAAUGCCAUGCUGUAAAUUUGUUGCACAAACAAACUGAUGAACCAACAACGAAAUUAUAACUUGGGCA